GUGGGGAUACAGUUCAGUGUGAAGAUCCCAGGUUCAAGGCCUAGUAUGGCAAAACACAUAGGAAACAAUCAGACACACCCGGAAUGUUGACAUUCACAGACCAGUAGUCUUGCCGCUGAAAAACUCCAUGAUGGUUUCAUAACUACCUCGUUCCUAGAUCAAAUCCCCUCCUGCUUCAGAUACCUAAAGGGAACUUGGUUUUGCUGACCACAUCCACCUCAGGACCUCACUGCAGAGUGAGGAGGCCUCUCUCAAGAAGGCAACUCCCUACAGAAAGAGUUCCACUGAAGAACAAAAUAAACAAUGGAAAACGUGGAGACAGAGCUUUACAUAAGCGGGCAGAGGACCAAGAGAUGACGGGGGCAGGGAGAUGUAGCAAGAACGAAGAUGCGUGGUGUGUGUGCCACAAUGAGUGUAAUCAGCAUGCACUGUAAACAU
rnacentral:lncRNA from 1 species